AAACAAACAACUUAUAAAGGCAAGCAAGAAAUGUUGACCAAUGAAUAUUAUAUAGAUCUGAUGUCAAUAGAAUGUGCUUAUCAUUUAGAAGACUAUGAAUGAUAUGUGAUUCAAAUUUUUGAUUGCUUUCAGCAAAUAUUCAAAAAAAAAUUAAACUGAAUGGUUGAAAUUCAUGUCCAAAGUAUUAACCAUGUGGUAUCCCAGAUAAGUUCAGAAUGGAUUUACAGCUAGUACCAUUAGAAAUUACAAAAAGAAGAGGUUUUUUUCAAAAUGUUUCAGAAUGUGAUUCUAUAGACUCAAUUUUUCAUAGAUACUGCAAAAACUAUUUUCAUCAUCAUAUUGUAUUGGGUAAGUGUGUGUGCUUUUCCAUUCCUAUAUAUACGAUGUACAGGAAAGGAUAUUGGGAAUUGGGUCCAGUUUCUGAGAGCCACUCUGUACAAAGAAUAUAAAGAAAACAGGAAUUGCAAAUGGACUGAGAAAACAAAAGCAUUUUUAUCCAGUUAUGUCAUCCA
rnacentral:lncRNA from 1 species